AUUGAACGCUGGCGGCAUGCUUUACACAUGCAAGUCGAACGGCAGCACGGACUUCGGUCUGGUGGCGAGUGGCGAACGGGUGAGUAAUACAUCGGAACGUACCCAGUAAUGGGGGAUAACUAGUCGAAAGAUUAGCUAAUACCGCAUACGCCCUACGGGGGAAAGAGGGGGAUCGCAAGACCUCUUGUUAUUGGAGCGGCCGAUGGCUGAUUAGCUAGUUGGUGGGGUAAAGGCCUACCAAGGCGACGAUCAGUAGCGGGUCUUAGAGGACGAUCCGCCACACUGGAACUGAGACACGGUCCAGACUCCUACGGGAGGCAGCAGUGGGGAAUCUUGGACAAUGGGCGAAAGCCUGAUCCAGCAAUGCCGCGUGCGUGAAGAAGGCCUUCGGGUUGUAAAGCGCUUUUGUCUGGGAGCAAAUCCUUGUGGCUAAUACCCACCGGGGAUGAGAGUACCAGAAGAAUAAGGACCGGCUAACUACGUGCCAGCCGCCGCCGUAA
rnacentral:rRNA from 1 species